CGCCGCCCGCCCUCCCAGGCCGCCCCAAACUUUGAGGGGAAAGCGGGCAAUUCUGGCAGUGAUGUGCCAGCAUCUAUCACAGAGCACAUCAAGGAACAGACCAAGACCGUGAAGAGCGCGUUGAACCGCUGUCCUGCCAAAGGAUGCCAAGUUUCACUCUCGAUGGGCAAACAUGGAGUCCCAUAGUAAAACAGUCUCAUUCCUUGGAAGGAAUAAGAUUCACAGCGUCUGGCAACCCUCCGAUGAUUACCAAGGAGGUCACCAUAGCCAUAUGGAUGAUCCAAAUGCAGCUGAACUUAAUGCUUUGAUUUAUCUGCCAGUUGACGCCUCCAGCCAUACUUGUGGUUCACUUAUGUUGCACUAAAUUAGUUUCUGGUGUAGCUUUUAGUUUUCACUGUCAAGACUGCCUUUGCUUAUUGCCUAUAGAGGAGGACUCAGACUUUUUACAGUUAUGACUACGGAUAACCAAAACACAGCUCCCGAUCAUCAUCUUGUGUUUUAAAUGUAGUCAGGCUGUGUUAUGACAAGGAGAAGAGUAUGUGAUAGUUGCAUACGCAUACUCGAACAGAAGCAGAUCUUCACGUGGUCUAAUCAGAGUACCCAGGAGAAUUCCAUUGGCUCCAGUAAUAUUGACUGACCCUAUCACUUUGAGUAAUGAAAUAAAAUUAGUAAGAGGAAAACAAAGUGAAUAUUAAUAAUAAUGAUUUGUAUCAUAGUGGCAUGAGUAGACACAGAUCUGAAUUCUCUAGUGGAAGGUGCUGUCCAAACGCCAUGCAGAGAGUUUACCCAGUUCCCGAAAAGCAAAAUCAGAAAAUAGGUUUAAUGGUGAAGCAAUAUCAGAAAAUAUGCCUAAUGGUAAAAUUUAUUAGAGUCUGGAAAAUUAAAUUCAUGAGGGAGGUUACGGAAACCUCACAGAUUGGGUAAGGGUGUAAUUUUCUAUUAAAUUGCUAAGUGGAAAAUCCCAGAGGCAAUCAAUAUGCUACUUUUGGAAUUUUCCUAAACUUCUCUGUAAGACUUUGUGAAAGGAAACUGGGCUAACAUACUAUUUAAAAUCCUGUAUUAUAUAUUUUUGGGUGAAUGCUGAAACAGCAAAGGUAGAUGGAUGUCAUAUGCUGUUUGCUAAAUUAUAUGGGUCCAAUUAAUCUCUGGUACAGUGCAGUGAAGUCAGGUUUGAGAUGCAGAAGCAGUGUUCCUAAGUUUUGUGUACAAAAAAGAGUAUAUUUUUUUUUCCCAAACAGUCUGCUGAUUCCUGUCUGCUAACUUUAUUUACCAGACUUAAAGCAUUGCUGAAACUGUUGUAUGACUCUCAUCCUUACUGGGACAAUAGGAGAAUUUUAUGAAACAUAAGGCCUUCAUUUACUGGUCAACUCACAUGAUAAGCUUUAUCCUGCUUUUGCCAAAGGAAUGUGAUACAAAAAUAAAAAGGUCUUUUCUCUUUUC